GUAGAGAAAGCCACAAAUGAAAUGAAUACCCAGGAGGACUGGGCAGUGAUAAUGGAGGUGUGUGACAAGGUCACAAGGUCAUCAUCAGGUUCCAAAGACUGUCUGAGAUCCAUAGUGAAGAGAAUGAACCAUCGUGUCCCUCACGUCUCCAUGCAGGCUCUGACGCUGUUGGAUGCCUGUGUGAAGAAUUGUGGCAGGAACUUCCACCUGGAGAUUUGUUCUCGUGACUUCGUCGGGGAGUGCAGGAGUUUGAUAGGACAGAAGGUCAUUUUUUUUCUCUUUUUUUGUUAUCAAGG